GGCAGGAUGGCUGAGUGGUUAAGGCGCCAGAUUUGGGCCCUGGUUCCCUCGGGAGCGUGGAUUCAAAUCCCACUUCUGUCA